GUGGUGGCAAGGGCUCCAUCUACACCUGGGCCUCGGGUAACGGCAGUAAUAACGGAGACGACUGCGGAGCGGACGGCUACGUCGGUAGCAUCCACACCAUCUCGGUUGGUUCCAUUAAUGACAUGGGGGAGUCGGUUUACUUCAUGGAGAAGUGCGCCUCAACGAUGGCCGUCGUUCUAGCUGUCUGGAGGAAUCAGUGACAUCAAGGCCAAAGGGGAUUACAGUAAACCUCAAAAUCUGGUGAUCACAACGGACAUCCGUGAUGGUUGCAUUGAUAAUUUCAUUGGGACAUCCAGUGCAGCCCCACUAGCAGCAGGUCUCUUUGCACUGGUUCUCCAAGCUAAAUCAAUCCUUCAAGGAAUGUCCACCGUCGUCUACAUAGAUAUAAAUUGCCCCAUCACCAAACUGGAGCACACCAUCGCGAAAAUCUCCUACCAAGCCCCCCGCCGUGGCGAUGUCUCCCUGACGAUCUGGUCCCCGCAGGGCACCCCCUCCGAGCUCCUCUCGACCCGCAAGAACGACAACACCACUCAGUCAGUGGACGAGUUUCCUUUCAUGUCGUUAGGGAACUGGGGCGAGAACCCAAACGGGGUGUGGCGCCUGGAGGUUGAGCAUCACCACACCCCACCGGGGGUCCAGUCGCGGGAGGAGGACCUUCCUGAUAUUCCGAGGGGAAGUAGUAAGAGGAAAACCCAGCCGUGAACCCUGAUCUUUCAGGACAUAUUGAAGACAACGUGGUCGUUGACCUUUAUAACAAAGAGCAGCUAGAUAAUGAAGAGAUCGUUAUUGACAAGGAUAAUUUAGCCAAAGGAGUAGAAGAACCUCCAAAUACAAAACACAACUUGGACGAUGAGGAGGAUAUCGACACUGGAGAAUUUGACGGGAUCUUGAAGGAUCCUCAGGUUCGAGCUCUAUACAUCAGCAAGAGAGCCGAGAUGAGGCGAAGGUUCGAAGAGCGAAAGGAGACUAGGAGGAACGAGUUUGACGACCUGAUGACCAAUAGGGGCCAAGAGGAGAGGUCACAUGAUCAAGAGAUCAGGUCACAUGGUCAGGAAUUCAAAGUGCACGGAUGCAAUGGUCGUCUACAAAAAACAGACGGGGGCGAUGGACGCAGACGAACUGGUCAAGAUUGAAGAUACCUCCUCAAGUGAGGAUGAAGACCGACCGGCAACGAGUAGAAAGCGGACAGCGGAGUUUGGUUCACCUCCUGCUAAGCGGAUUCGAAGCCUCGCUAGCUACGACACCAAAGCUUGGAUCAAUCAAUGUAAAGAACUUACUCAAAUGCUGUGGAAUUGUCAAGACUCUGAGCCCUUCCGUUACUCAGUCGAUGAAAUGCUUUAAUCGGAUUAUCGCACCAUCAUAGACACCCCUAUGGACUUGAACACAGUCCGAGAGCAACUUGAAGGAAUGAUCUACCAAGACCCCAUGGAAUUCUGUAAAGACGUACGCCUCGUCUUCACCAACUCAAAAAGCUACACCCCAAACAAAAAAUCUAAGAAAUAAAAGCUUGAAAUCGCGCAGGAAAUCACGUCGCCCAUCCACUUAAGCCUCGUCCUCUAACAGCAAAGCCGUGUCAUCUCACAGCGAAGAAGACGAGGAGACAGAGAUCCCUACUCGUGCGGGGCCAUCCAGGGUGGGGCCAUCCAGGGUGGGGCCAUCCAGGGCAGGGUCAUCCAGGGCGGGGUCAUCUAGGGCGGGGCCAUCCAGAGAGAACUCAGCCAGCGUCGCCAGACCUAGUACUUCAAGACAGUUAAAUGCCAAAGAAAGUCCAACCAGUACCAGACUAAGUGCCAAGAACAUUCCGUCCAAGAGUAAAAACUCAGGAAAUCAACGACAUUUACAAAAAGCGUUGCAGAAAGAGUGAAGAGGCAAACGAAAUCCAGCAACACGAGGAAAGAUGAUUCGGGAGAAGAAAGUGAAGACCAAGACGAGAACAGUGAAGAAGAGGAGGAGGAGGAGGAAGAAGAAAAUGAGGAGGAUGAGGGGGAGGAAACAGACGUGGAGCAAGAAAAGAAAGAUGAAGAUGAUGAAGAUGAUGAAGAAGAUGAAGAAGAUGAUGAAGAAAAUGAAGAAGAAGAAGAAGAAGAAGAAAUUAAACCAUUAAGACCAAAACGAAACGGGAUGAGAAGAAACGUUGCUACAAGAAAUUCUGGUUCUAACUUGAGCAACGGUCACAUGAAGCGGUACUCCACAAGAAAUCAGCCAGUAGUAAGCGACAAC